UGGGACAAGAAUGAUCAUAGAAGACUGUA
rnacentral:piRNA from 1 species